rnacentral:tRNA from 1 species
GGAAAUGUGGCUUAGUGGUAGAGUGCUUGCCUAGCAUGCAUGAUUUCCUCAGUUCCA